ensembl:misc_RNA Metazoa_SRP Metazoan signal recognition particle RNA
GCUCGGUGUGGUGGUGCGUGCCUGUAGUCCCACCUACUCGGGAGGCUGAGUGGGGAGGAUCGCUUGAGCCUAGGAGUUCUGGGCUGUAGUGCCCUAUGCCGAUCAGGUGUCCGCACUAAGUUCAGCAUCAAUAUGGUGACCUCCCAGCAGCGAGGAACCACCAGAUUGCCUAAGGAGAGGUGAAUUGUCCCAGCUUGGAAACAGAGCAGAUCAAAACUCCAGUGCUGAUCCGUCAUGGGAUCGUGCCUAUGAAAAGCCACUGCACUCCAGCCUGGGCAUCAUAGUGAGACCCUGUCUCAA